UUAAGAGCUGCAUGGAUUUGGAGUCUUAUCCUCACUAGAAGAGAGGAAUGCACCCAAUGGAAAAGAGGAGAGCAACCAAAGUCUAAGCUAAGAGCAUAGUUUCAUAUAUCCAAAACAUCAUUCACUGUUAAAUCCAGGAAACAUCCUUGGAUUUGGAAAUUAUGGAAGGAGAAAUUAUUAUUGGAACUGUACUGAACCUUUAGCUCAAUUAAGUUCAAAACAGAUACAAAGCUAUGAGCAUGUAUAUGCAGAGGUAGAUCAACCUGGAAGCUACUACAAUAGUCCAGGUGAGACAUCAAGAGGACAACUGAGGAAAUAAAGUGGACAUGGAGAAGAGGGAGAAGAUUCAACUAUUUAUACAGUUUGAUGAGGCAGGAUACCAUGCUGUGGAGACCCAUUUGGCAAGAAACUAAAGGCAGCCACCAUCCAAAUGCUAGGAAAAAGCUACAGCUUUCUGUCUGAUGGCAAAGGAGACACUGAAUCCAGUCAACAAUAACAGGAGUUUGAUGGAAGAUCCAUUCCCCAGUGGAGCCUCAGAUAACACCUCAAGUCUGGCCAACAUUCUGACUGUAAACUUAUGAGAGACCCUGAAGCAGAGAAUUCAGCUAAUCCAUGCCUGGGUUUCUGACUCUCAAAAAUUCUGAGA
rnacentral:lncRNA from 1 species